rfam:Alkaliphilus metalliredigens QYMF, complete genome.
GGUCAAGUUAUUAAGAGCAAAGGGCGGAUGCCUUGGCACUAGGAGUCGAUGAAGGACGUGGUAAGCUGCGAUAAGCCUCGGGAAGCCGCAAGCAGGCAUUGAUCCGGGGAUUUCCGAAUGGGGAAACCCACUUGGGUUCAUAUCCAAGUAUCUAUUACUCAAUUCAUAGGUAAUAGAAGACAGACCGGGGGAACUGAAACAUCUAAGUACCCCGAGGAAGAGAAAGAAAAUUCGAUUCCCUCAGUAGCGGCGAGCGAAAGGGGAAGAGCCCAAACCGAUGGGGUUUACUUCAUCGGGGUUGUGGACACGGUCGUUAAGAAGAAGGUAUUGUAGUAGAAGAGGGUUGGAAAGCCCCACCGGAGAAGGUAAUAGUCCUGUAUAUCAAACAAGAAGAUCUUUGACUGUGAUCCAGAGUACCACGGGACACGUGAAACCCUGUGGGAAGCAGGGGGGACCACCCCCCAAGGCUAAAUACUACCUAGUGACCGAUAGCGCAUAGUACCGUGAGGGAAAGGUGAAAAGAACCCCGGAAGGGGAGUGAAAUAGAACCUGAAACCCUUUGCUUACAAGCUGUGGGAGCACUUUAUAUGUGUGACCGCGUACUUUUUGUAGAACGGGCCAACGAGUUAUGGUAUGGAGCAAGGUUAAGCACUUAAGGUGCGAAGCCGUAGGGAAACCGAGUCUUAAUCGGGCGACUUAGUUUCAUGCCAUAGACCCGAAACCGAGCGACCUACCCAUGGACAGGAUGAAGCGGAAGUAAAAUUUCGUGGAGGUCCGAACCGAUUGACGUUGAAAAGUCACCGGAUGAUCUGUGGGUAGCGGUGAAAUUCCAAUCGAGCUCGGAGAUAGCUGGUUCUCGCCGAAAUAGCUUUAGGGCUAGCCUCAAGAUUAGAGACACGGAGGUAGAGCACUGAAUGGUCAAGGGGCCUUCACCGGUUACCGAAACCUAUCAAACUCCGAAUGCCGUCGUCUUAUACUUGGGAGUCAGACUGCGAGUGAUAAGAUCCGUAGUCAAGAGGGAAAGAGCCCAGACCAUCAGCUAAGGUCCCAAAGUAUACGUUAAGUGGAAAAGGAUGUGGAGUUGCACAGACAACCAGGAUGUUGGCUUAGAAGCAGCCACUCAUUUAAAGAGUGCGUAAUAGCUCACUGGUCGAGUGAUUCUGCGCCGAAAAUGUCCGGGGCUCAAACGUAUCACCGAAGCUAUGGAUCCGAAAGGAUGGUAGGCGAGCGUUCUGUAAGGGUAGAAGCUGUACCGUAAGGAGCAGUGGACUUUACAGAAGAGAGAAUGUUGGCAUGAGUAACGAGAGGCAAGUGAGAAUCUUGCCCGUCGAAAACCCAAGGUUUCCUGAGGAAGGUUCGUCCGCUCAGGGUUAGUCGGGACCUAAGCCGAGGCCGAAAGGCGUAGGCGAUGGACAACAGGUUGAGAUUCCUGUACCACUUUUAGUCGUUUGAGAAAUGGGGGGACACAGUAGGAUAAACCAUGCGCACCGUUGGUUGUGUGCGUCUAAGCAAGUAGGGAGUUAGGAUAGGCAAAUCCGUUCUAACAUAUUCUGAGAUGUGAUGGGGAGCGAAAUAUAAGUAGCGAACUGGUUGAUUCCACACUGUCGAGAAAAGCCUCUAUCGAGACUAUAAAGUGCCCGUACCGCAAACCGACACAGGUGGGUGAGGAGAGAAUCCUAAGACGAUCGGGAGAACUAUUGUUAAGGAACUCGGCAAAAUGACCCCGUAACUUCGGGAGAAGGGGUGCCGGAUUUGGUGAAGGAUUUACUCCAUAAGCCUUAUCCGGCCGCAGAGAAUAGGCCCAAGCGACUGUUUACCAAAAACAUAGGUCUCUGCUAAGUCGAAAGACGAAGUAUAGGGGCUGACGCCUGCCCGGUGCUGGAAGGUUAAGGGGACGUGUUAGCGCAAGCGAAGCACUGAACUUAAGCCCCAGUAAACGGCGGCCGUAACUAUAACGGUCCUAAGGUAGCGAAAUUCCUUGUCGGGUAAGUUCCGACCCGCACGAAAGGCGUAACGAUUUGGGCACUGUCUCAACAAUAGACCCGGUGAAAUUGUAAUACCAGUGAAGAUGCUGGUUACCCGCGACAGGACGGAAAGACCCCGUGGAGCUUUACUGUAGCCUGACAUUGGAUUUUGGUACUAUAUGUACAGGAUAGGUGGGAGACUUUGAAACUAGGACGCCAGUCUUGGUGGAGUCGACCUUGGGAUACCACUCUUGUAGUACUGAAAUUCUAACCAUAGACCGUGAAACCGGUCUUGGGACACUGUCAGGUGGGCAGUUUGACUGGGGCGGUCGCCUCCCAAAAAGUAACGGAGGCGCCCAAAGGUUCCCUCAGCACGGUCGGAAAUCGUGCGUAGAGUGCAAAGGCAAAAGGGAGCUUGAUUGCGAGACAUACAGGUCGAGCAAGGACGAAAGUCGGGCUUAGUGAUCCGGUGGUUCCGAGUGGAAGGGCCAUCGCUCAACGGAUAAAAGCUACCCCGGGGAUAACAGGCUUAUCUCCCCCAAGAGUCCACAUCGACGGGGAGGUUUGGCACCUCGAUGUCGGCUCAUCACAUCCUGGGGCUGUAGUAGGUCCCAAGGGUUGGGCUGUUCGCCCAUUAAAGUGGUACGCGAGCUGGGUUCAGAACGUCGUGAGACAGUUCGGUCCCUAUCCGUCGCGGGCGCAGGAAAUUUGAGAGGAGCUGUCCUUAGUACGAGAGGACCGGGAUGGACAUACCUCUGGUGUACCAGUUGUUCUGCCAAGAGCAUCGCUGGGUAGCUACGUAUGGAAGGGAUAAGUGCUGAAGGCAUCUAAGCACGAAGCCCCCCUCAAGAUAAGAUUUCCCAUCUCGAAAGAGAGUAAGACCCCAGGAAGACUACCUGGUUGAUAGGUUGGAGGUGUAAGUGCAGUAAUGUACUCAGCUGACCAAUACUAAUAGGUCGAGGACUUGACCAA